rnacentral:rRNA from 1 species
CCUACGGGUGGCAGCAGUGAGGAAUAUUGCUCAAUGGCCGGAAGGCUGAACCAGCCAUGCCGCGUGAAUGUCAGUGCCCUAUGGGCGUUAAACUUCUUUUGUGCGGGAGCAAUAAUGGUCACGUGUGGCCAGACGAGAGUACCGUACGAAUAAGCAUCGGCUAACUCCGUGCCAGCAGCCGCGGUAAUACGGGUGGUGGAAGCGGUAUCCGGAUUUAAUGGGGUGAAAGGGUGAGUAAGCUGUGAGGUAGUUCAGCGUGGAAAUGCCCCCGCUCAACGGGGUGAAGUGCCAUUGAUACUGGCUUGCUUGAAGGCGGAUGCGGUGGGAGGAAUGUGUGGUGUAGCGGUGAAAUGCAUAGAGAUCACACAGAACACCGAUUGCGAAGGCAUCUCACGAAUCCGCGAUUGACGCUGAUGCACGAAAGCGUGGGUAUCAAACAGGAUUAGAUACCCCAGUAGUC